rnacentral:rRNA from 1 species
UACGGAGGGUGCGAGCGUUGUCCGGAAUCACUGGGCGUAAAGGGCGCGUAGGCGGCUCGAUAAGGCUGUGGUGAAAGCCCGGGGCUCAACCCCGGGUCGGCCGUGGCGACUGUCGGGCUGGAGCACUGUAGAGGCGGGGCGGAAUUCCGGGUGUAGCGGUGGAAUGCGUAGAGAUCCGGAAGAACACCGGUGGCGAAGGCGGCCCGCUGGGCAGGAAGAUCGUCGCAAGGCGAUCGGCUGACGCUGAGGCGCGACAGCGUGGGGGAGCAAACAGG